rnacentral:rRNA from 1 species
GAGUUUGAUCCUGGCUCAGGAUGAACGCUGGCGGCGUGCCUAAUACAUGCAAGUCGAGCGAACAGAUGAGAAGCUUGCUUCUCUGAUGUUAGCGGCGGACGGGUGAGUAACACGUGGGUAACCUACCUAUAAGACUGGGAUAACUCCGGGAAACCGGGGCUAAUACCUGAUAAUAUUUUGAACCGCAUGGUUCAAUAGUGAAAGGCGGCUUCGGCUGUCACUUAUAGAUGGACCCGCGCCGUAUUAGCUAGUUGGUAAGGUAACGGCUUACCAAGGCGACGAUACGUAGCCGACCUGAGAGGGUGAUCGGCCACACUGGAACUGAGACACGGUCCAGACUCCUACGGGAGGCAGCAGUAGGGAAUCUUCCGCAAUGGGCGAAAGCCUGACGGAGCAACGCCGCGUGAGUGAUGAAGGUUUUCGGAUCGUAAAACUCUGUUGUUAGGGAAGAACAAAUUUGUUAGUAACUGAACAAGUCUUGACGGUACCUAACAGAAAGCCACGGCUACUC